rnacentral:ncRNA from 17 species
AUUUAUAUAAAGAUUUACCCUUAUAUAAUAAUGGGGAUAUGGCCCAUAAGUUUCUACCUGGCUGCCGUAAAUGGCCGGACUAUAAGGGAAAGAUGAUAUGAC